rnacentral:rRNA from 1 species
AGUGAACGCUGGCGGCAGGCCUAAUACAUGCAAGUCGAACGGCAGCACAGCAGAGCUUGCUCUGUGGGUGGCGAGUGGCGGACGGGUGAGGAAUACAUGGGAAUCUGCCCAGUCGUGGGGGAUAACGUAGGGAAACUUACGCUAAUACCGCAUGCGCCCUUCGGGGGAAAGCCGGGGACCUUCGGGCCUGGCGCGAUUGGAUGAGCCCAUGUCGGAUUAGCUAGUUGGCGGGGUAAUGGCCCACCAAGGCGACGAUCCGUAGCUGGUCUGAGAGGAUGAUCAGCCACACUGGAACUGAGACACGGUCCAGACUCCUACGGGAGGCAGCAGUAGGGAAUAUUGGACAAUGGGCGCAAGCCUGAUCCAGCCAUGCCGCGUGAGUGAAGAAGGCCCUCGGGUUGUAAAGCUCUUUUGUCCGGAAAGAAAAGCGCCGGGUUAAUACCCUGGUCGUCCUGACGGUACCGGAAGAAUAAGCACCGGCUAACUUCGUG